AGUGAACGCUGGCGGCAGGCCUAAUACAUGCAAGUCGAACGGCAGCACAGCAGAGCUUGCUCUGUGGGUGGCGAGUGGCGGACGGGUGAGGAAUACGUGGGAAUCUGCCCAGUCGUGGGGGAUAACGUAGGGAAACUUACGCUAAUACCGCAUGCGCCCUUCGGGGGAAAGCCGGGGACCUUCGGGCCUGGCGCGAUUGGAUGAGCCCACGUCGGAUUAGCUAGUUGGCGGGGUAAAGGCCCACCAAGGCGACGAUCCGUAGCUGGCCUGAGGGGAGGAUCAGCCACACUGGAACUGAGACACGGUCCAGACUCCUACGGGAGGCAGCAGUAGGGAAUAUUGGACAAUGGGCGCAAGCCUGAUCCAGCCAUGCCGCGUGAGUGAAGAAGGCCCUCGGGUUGUAAAGCUCUUUUGUCCGGAAAGAAAAGCAUCCAGUUAAUACCUGGGUGUCCUGACGGUACCGGAAGAAUAAGCACCGGCUAACUUCGUGCCAGCAGCCGCCGUAACAC
rnacentral:rRNA from 1 species